CACUUAUAUCUACUCACUUCGCAUUUAUGAUAAAAUAUAUAAAUAAAUAUAUAUUAUUCUUUUUUUUUUCUUUUAUUUUUAUGCAUAGUAAAUCUUUUGUUUAUUUCUUUUCUCUCUUCUUUAAUUUAAUAAUAAAAAAAAAAAAAAAAAAACACGAAAUGGUAGAGAUUCAAGCUUUGUAAAAAUAUACUUUUUUUUUUACCGAUUUGUUAUAAACACAAAAGGUUUCAACACAAUUAGUGUAAAAAAAAAAAUAAAUAAAUAAAUAAAAAGCAUAUAACGUCAAUAGAAGUCACAUACACUAAAGUGCCUAAAUUUGAUUCCCAUACUGUCCAUUAUGUUAACUUUUUUUUUUUACUAUUUCUUUUUUUUUUUUUUUUUUAAUACAAAAUGACAAGAAAAGGAAAUAUAAAAAAUUUCGAAUUAGAGAAGAUUAUAUUUAUCUUAUUAAAUUGCUUAGAUGAGGAUAAAAAAAUAAAUUAUGAAAUUGUUAAUACCCUUAAAAUAUAUAUUAUGCACCAUAAAUGUGAUAUUUUAAAUUAUGUAUUUUCAUUUUUACAAAUACAACAAGUAAGUCAUGAAAAUCAAAAAAUACUUCUUUACUUAAUUUAUGACUUUGUUCAUUAUUGUUUGUAUAAUAGUUUUAGUGAUGAAGUUAAAAAAUAUUUUAAAGAAAAUAAAAAAAAUGAUUUGAAGCAAAACGAACAGAUGACAACACAAGAUUUUACUAAUAUAGCUAUAGAUAUUAAUAUAUUUAACAAUAUCUUGAAAUAUACAUUUCUGGAUGGCGGCGAGUACUGCUAUGUAUAUAAAAAUGCAUUAAAAGGUUUUAAUAAUAAUAUAACGCAAACAGACAGUGGGGGUAAAAAAAGAAGAAGUGGCAGUAACAAUAGUAUCAAUGGCACAUAUAGUCAUAUCAAUUACGAAACUGCGAAAUACAGAUACUAUAAUAACAUAUUUUUACAUAAUAAAAUUAUAUAUUUGAAAUGCAUUAAAAAGGAAGAUUAUAAAAUAAAAUUAAGAAAAAAAAAAAAAAAAAAAAAAAAUAAAAAUAAAAAUAAUAAUAAUAAUAGUAAUAAUAAUAAUAACAAUAGCAAUAGUAAUGAUAUUAAUAAUAAUAAUAACAAUAACAAUAAUAAUAAUAAUAAUAACAAUAACAAUAAUAAUAAUAAUAAUAAUAAUAAUAAUAAUAUGAAUAUAAAAGGUAGUAACAAAAUGGAAAGUCGUAAAAAUUGUGUUAGGAGUCACACACAUGGUCGAUUUGGGUUGAGCCAUUGUGCGAACAAGAUAUGCUAUAAUGGUGGUAUAAAUGGUAUAAGUGGUAUAAAUGGUAUAAGUGGUAUAAAUGAUAUAAGUGGUAUAAAUGAUAUAAGUGGUAUAAAUGGUAUUAAAAAUAGUGGUAAAAAUUGUGAUACCCUUUCUAACAUAAGCAAAGACAAAAAAAAAUAUGGUGCUUUUAAAAAAAAAGAAGAAGAAGUUAGUUCUAAUCGUUUAAACGUUUUAAACCAUAAUGCAAAUAUGCAGUGUGAUAAGAACAACGCUACGUAUGAUAUGUAUGACCAUACAUGCAUUCUACAUAAUAACCAAAUCAAUAAUAACCAACAAAAGAUUAACUCUGUUAAUUUUACGAGCGAACAAAAAAUAAAAAAAAAUUCACAAAAAAAGGAUUCAGUAAUAUCUGAAAUCAUGUGUUCAGGUGGAUUAUUAUUAAAAAGACGUAGCAGUAGUACUACUACUAGCUUUCCACUUGGAAAACACAAAAGUAACCGGUAUAAACGUGAAUAUGGAAGUGAUAAAAAGAGUUUGUUGUUCUACAAAAAAGAUAAAAUAAAAAAUAAAGCUCAUAGUAAUAGUUGUAGCGGUAUAAAUGAUAGAGAGUAUACCAGUAAGAAAAAUAAGAAAAACAAAAGUGCUGCAGUUACCUUAAAAGUAGAGAAUGAAAAAGAAAAAAUUGAAAACGUAAAUAAAAUAUGCUUAAAACUUGUAAAUAUAUAUUUGAAUAUACUUGUUAAUAUGGAAUAUAGUGAUGAAAGAUAUGCUAAAGUACUUUAUAUUAUAUCAAAACUGAUUUUAUAUGUAAAAAAUGAUGAUAGUAUUAAAAAAACGAUAGAAGUGUUUGUUUAUUAUUUUUGUAUGUUUUUUAAUUUAAUUAAUGUUAACAAUAGUGGUAGUAAUCGUUAUGCUAAUGGUAGUAAUAAUGACUAUAACAAUAGUAUUAAUAACACCGGCAACUUUAGUAGCAGUAGUAGUAGUAGUAGUAAUAACAAUAGUAUAAACUAUAAUAACAUUACAGGCAUAUAUGAUACUUCGUGUAUAUAUAAUAAUAAACUUGAUUUGGUUAUAAAUUAUUUCAAUUAUAAAAGUUUACCUGAUUAUGCAUUAAUAAAUAGUUUCAGAGUUAUACUUCAAAGUUGUUUGAAUAAUAUACAUCAUAUAGUUUUAUUUUCUAAUCACAUAUUAAAAUUAAAUUACUCUUUAUUGUGUAUAUUAAUUUAUCAAAAUUAUAACAAUAGUAAUAAUAGUGCUCAAACGGUUGUAAAUAGUAUAAUAUCUAGCUCAUAUAUUUCAGUUUAUAUAGAAAUUAUGGAAAUAUUUAGCAUACUUAUAUGCUAUUUGCAUACGCACAACUAUGUUUUUAAGUUUAUAAAAGAAAAAUUAAAAUCGAAUAACAAUAUUGAUGUUAUUGCUUCGUUAUUAAUUCUAAAGCAGUAUAUAUUACUACUAUCAAGUGAUUUGGAUAGUGCGGAUAUUGUUUUUUUAUCAAAUCAAAAUAUUGAAGAAAGAAAAAAAAAAAAAAAUACAAAUUAUAAACAAAGUUUUAAAAAACUAAACGGUUUUAUAACUGAUGUACAUAAAAUUCAAACAAAUGUUGACCAUAUUAUUCAGAUUAUAUCAACUAUAUGUCAAACUUUUGCAAACGAUUUGAGUAUCAUUUAUAUAUUACUGGAAAUUUGUUUAUUGUUAUCAUAUAACAAUUAUUUUAGCUACUACUCCUACAACCCGAAUGUCAUAUUGGGCUUAAUCUCAGAAGUUAACAGCCCUUUACGUGUGUUAGAUAGGUGCGACUUGGGAAGGAGCGAGUUAAAUAAAGCCGAGUUAAAUAACGCCGAGUUAAAUAACGCCAAUUCAAAUAACGUCAAGUUGUUAGACGCAGAAAACGAUGGGCAAAAUAACGAAGCUGAGUUCAAAUUCAAAAAUAUAUAUGAAAAAAAACAGGGGCGUUUAUACAAGGAGUUGUAUAAUAAUAAAAAUGAUAAUGGUAUAACUACUAGUACCACAUGUAAUGACGAAACUACUACUAGUACAACAAAUAAUAAUAACAAUGGUAUUCAUUAUGAACGUGAUAGCACACAGAAUCAAAGUGAAUGGAUUCCUUUAAACAAUAGCGAAUACAUUUUAAAUGAGAAAAUAAAAAUGUCCAAUAAUUGCUACGAUUACGAUAAUAAAAUAAAAACAUGGUUACUUAUUCCCAAUACAUAUAUAAUAAACAUAUUUCAUUUUUUUUUAAACAUAUUAAUAAGCAACGAAACAGAUUAUAUUACAAAGAGUUCUAAGUAUGGCUACUUUGUAGAUGAUAAAAAUAAAACAAUUUUUGACAUAAAAGAUAAGAACACGGAGAUUUUAAAAAAUGGUUUUACUAACAAUCAUAUGUUUUAUGAUGUCUAUUUACAUUAUUUUAUUUAUAUGUAUCCCGAAUUACAGUAUAUGAAAAAAUUAAUAGCAAAAGCAUUUGAACAUAAUUUUUGUUUAUAUUCUCCUAGAGUAUUGUAUCCUUUAUUAUUUGAAUAUUUAGUCGAUAUAAAAAGUUGCUAUUCUAUUAUCAUAGUUUUACUUAAAUGUUUAAAUAUUAUAUGUAUAUCAAUAUAUAAUUGUAUGAUUAAAAAAAAUAUUAAAAUACAUGCAAAAUUACAUUAUAACUAUUUAGCAUUACCCAAUAUGAGUAAAGUCAUAGCAGUUUUAUUUAUUUAUUGUUAUCACCCCAAUUAUAUUGUUUCUUUUUUAAGUUUACAACUAGCUUCGAUUUUAAUUAGUUUUACUCAAAAUCAAAAUAUACUAUCUGUUCAAAAUGACACUUAUUUUCAAUUACUAUUUCAUUUGCUUCGAUUAAACGAGCGAGCAGGUGGUUAUAACAUGGGCAUUUCUGAUUGUAGUGACAUUGUUGAUGUUGGAGAUUUAUGUGGUUCGCUUUAUUUUGUGUAUAAGCGAAAUAUGUAUAGUAAAAAAAUAAUUUUAAAUAUGAAGAAAAGGAUGGGGGUUCAAAAAAGUGCUAACGCUAAUUAUAGAUUUAAAAAAAUUACUAGCGAUAAUAGUAACUUUAAAAAAAGAGAUAGUGAUAAUAGUAACUUUAAAAAAAGAGCUAGCGAUAAUAGUAACUUUAAAAAAAGUGCUAGUGAUAAUAGUAACUUUAAAAAAAGAGCUAGCGAUAAUAGUAACUUUAAAAAAAGUGCUAGCGAUAAUAGUAACUUUAAAAAAAGUGCUAGCGAUAAUAGUAACAUUAAAAAAAGUACCAUGCAAAGUGCAUCCAUUUUUAAGCAUACAACUCUCAAUCAGAUUAAGCAUUACAUCAAAAUUAUGAAAUGUUGUUAUAUUACAAUAGCAAAGAUGAUUAGUAAAAAAAUAAUUAAUAUAUACUUAAAAUGUUACUCAAUAAAAUGGGAUGCAAAAAAAAAAAAAAGAAUUAAUGAUUUUAUUCGAAUACAUUUUAACUUUAAUUUUAAAAAAAUUAGUAACUUUAUACAAAUGUAUGUUGAUGAUUACGGCCUAGAUAACAAUUUAAACAUAAAUAGUAUUAACAUGAAUAAUGUUAAUCUAAAUUUUAAUAAUUAUGUAAUUAACGGUAUUAGUAUUGUUAGUACUACUCCUGGUACAUUUAACGGUCCCACCUUAAAUAAAUAUAAAACAAAAAAUAAAAAUCAUAUUAGUAGUAAUAGUAGUAAUAGCUACAACCAUAGUAGCACUAUUCAGGAUAAUAAAAAUGAUAUAGCUAUUUCGAGAAUAGAAAUUAUAAGUUCCUACAUAAUUUUAAUUUUGCGAUUAAAUAAAAAAAUGUUUCGUAGCUAUUUAAAAAGGGAAAUAAAAAAGGUAUAUAAUGUUAAGACAUAUAUUAUAACAUAUUUUUGUACUCUUAUUGAAUUUUUAAGAAUUAUUCGUAAUAGUACUAAUAGUACUAACAGUACUAGUGGUGGUAGUAUAACUAAUAUUAGCAUUACCGAAUUCGAUAAUAACUUAUUUAGUAUUUGUAUUUUAAAUAUGUUAUGUGUUCUAAUUAAACAUUUUAAUACGAAAUAUAGUAAUGAAUUUAUAUCUGCUUUUUUCAAACUACAUGAAGAAGUUACUAAUAUCACUAAUAAUAGUAGUACUAUUAGCACAAGCACUUCAACUACUGCUAUUACAACAUCUAAUAAUACGACAUACGAAGAGGAAGGGUUAUUUUUAACACUCUAUAACAAUUUUUUUGAUAUUUAUAAUAACCAUUUUUUAAAUUUGUACAAAGAGAGGUGUAUAGCUCCAUAUGUUAAAAAAUGCGUUGAAUGCAUAAAACAAAUACGCUGUGAAAAAAUAUGUACUACUUCCAAAAAAAAUAAUACAAAUCACAUUGAUUUUAAUAAUUUCAUGUUAUUAUCUAACAAAUAUAAUAGCGAUGCUUUGAAGCAAAAAAAAAUACAGAAUGUGUUGAACUACCUGAACGAGUACACAUUGUUUUAUAAAACGGUUAUAAAGGAAUGUUUUGAUGGGCAUUAUAAAGGUGGAGUUAGUAGUAGUGUCAGUGGUAAUGCCAGUAGUAAUACCAGUAGUAAUACCAGUAAUAAUACCAGUAGUAAUACCAGUAGUAAUACCAGUAGUAAUACCAGUAGUAAUGCUAGUAAUGAUUUCAAUGAUAGUGCCAAUAUUAGCGACAAACAACAUGUAUUACCUAUCAAAAUUGAUUGUACAAACAAGGACAUAAUGAUUGAUACAGAUUUUAUAAAAAGAAAAGGUACUAAAGAAAUAGAAAAAUCCAAACUGGGCUUGUUAGACCAUGCAGAAAAAAAAAAAAAAAAAAAAGAAAAAAAAAAAAAAAAAACUUCUGAAACAGCUGAAUUAAAAAUGGAAUUAGAUAAACAUAACAACAUAACAAAUAAACUAUUUGAAUUUUGUCAAAGCAGUAUGGGUCUAUAUACAUUACAAAAUGAUAUAAAUUUUAGUUUAAAAAAUUAUUUUUACCAAUUAUUAGUUGCAUAUUUUAUAGAAACUAUAUUAAAUAAAAACAAUGUGUUACAUAUUUUAUUUUUAUUGAAUAAUAUAUAUUUUUCUGAUGUAGCAAAUAAAAAAACUAGUGCAUUUUCAAUAUUCGGUAAAUCUACAAAUGAGAUACAUUCGGAAAAAAUACGUACCACACUGAUACUAAGUAUAGGAUUAUGUAUAAAAAAAAUACCUGCACAACAUUUUCAAAAACUAUAUUCCAUAAACGAAGCAUUUGUUAGUAAUAAUAUUUUUCAUAUGUAUGUAGAUUAUGUAUAUAAUAAUAUAUUCAUAAAAUGUAACAACUUACUUCAAUGGGUUUUGUUUAAUAAGAAUACUAGUGUAAACUAUGUAAGUAGUAAUAUCAAUUUAGUAAAAGAAAUUUUGAAAAAUAGAGAAAAAUGGAUUGAAAAAAAGUACAAAGAUAAAAUUAAUUCAAAUGUAAAGUUUGUUAAUGAUAUUACAUAUGUGCUUACUCAAAAAGAAAGCGCAGAAAAUGAGGUCCAAUCAGAUAAGCUAAACUCGAUUGUAUAUACAAGUACUUAUGAUGAUGAUAGUAGUGGAAAUACCAGUUGUAACAAGAGUAAUGGUGGUGGUGGUGGUGGUGAUAACAAAAAUGCAACACAAAACAACAAAAUAAACGAAAAUGCUGUUUUGUUAAUGUUUCAAUUGUUAGUAGACCCUAUUAUUGUUGCAUUAUAUCAGGAAAAGGAACCGAAUAUACAGAAAUGUUUAUUAAAAACAUUAAAAAAAAUAGCUCAAAAAUUAAAAAAAAUAAAAACAUCUUUUGUCUCUAACCAUAUUGGAAAGAAACAAAAUGUUACUAACAAAAACAAACAACAGAAAUAUCAAGUUAAUGAAAUACAGAACAUAUAUAUCUCCGAUUUUAUUAAUAAUAAUAGUAACAAUAAUAUUAGUAAUAAUAAUAAUAAUAAUAUUAGUAAUAAUAAUAAUAAUAAUAAUAGUUGUAAUAUUGAUGAUAUUUGUGAAAAUUAUUUAAAAGAAAAUAUAAAUGAUUACCAUCACCAACAUUUUCCAUUUUUUUCUUGUUUAUAUAUAUAUAAAUUUCUUAUUAUUCAUUCUGCUUUAUAUUACAUUCAAAAUAUACCUAACAUUGUGUUACCUAUAAGUGGUAUAAACAUUGCUAACUUUCAAAAAUUUUGCAUUUUAUUUAAAUUUGGUAAAAAUAAAUUUCAAAAAAAGAGUGAAUAUUAUUAUGAAGAAAAAAUUAUUCAACAGUUAAACAGUAUUGAAAAUAUGAGGACAAGUAUUAAUGGUAAUAAUAGUGUCACAAUGAAUGCUAAUACGAGUACUAAUGUGAAUGAUAAUACGAAAGGAGGUAGUAUAUGUUCAGAGAUGGUAUACUUAAAAGAGAUAAAAAAGAUAAAUAAAAAUAUCAAAUUAAAAAAUAGAAACUCAAAAUCUGAUAAUAAUUUUAUAUAUUAUAAUGAUUUUUUUUUACAAACAAAAAAAGAAGACACUUCAUUAUCAUCAUCUUUGUUGUCAUCCGUUCUAUCUGGUCCUUUAUUAUCUAGCCCAAUAGUUUCUAGAGGUCCUUUUUUAUUAUUACCAUUACCAGAAGAUGAUAAAACAAACUCUCUCCAUUUAUAUAUAAACAUGGAAACAUAUACAAUUAUAUUAAAUGCACUUAAAACUAUUUAUCAUUCAUUGUUUAUAAAAAACAACUCUUUAAAAUACCAAUCUAUUUUUAUUAUAAUAGAAAUAUUAAUUAAUUUAUUUUUAAAAAUAGUUUUAAACGAAAAAUAUAAUUUAUGUAAAUCAUGGGAUCAAAUUCUACAACAGAACAAAAACAAACAUUUGACACAUAGAAAAAAGAUUAAUUCUAAAUUUGUGUAUAUCACUGGAUAUAGAAAAAAACCAUAUCAGAGAAUAUAUAAAAAUGGGUUUUUAUACACUGGUUAUUCGGAAGGGAGAAAAAAAGAACCUUGGUUAGUAAGAGUUAAAAAUGCAGCAGAAAAGGUAGGACACAUAGACACAGAGAAAAAAAAACAAAAUAUACAACAUGUUAAAAAGAAAAAAACAUAUUAUGCUGUUGGGAAAUCAUGCAGUAGUAAAAAUGAAUUACCGGAAUUGAUUAAAAAAGCGAACCCAAUAUCACAUAAACAAAAUUCAAAAACUUUUCAUAAAAAACAAAGAAAACAAAAUGGUUAUAAAUUACUUAAUCAAACUAAUAAAAUGGAUAAAAUAAGUAAACAUACAAGUAAUGCGUUAUUGUACAAUAGUAGAGAUACAAAAGAAGGUAAUCCAGGUUACUCUGACGUGGAUAGAACGACUAACGUGACUUCUAUGAAAAAUUUGUUCGAACCUGUCAGGGUAAUAAAAAAUAAAAAGAAAAGAACACAUGUCAAAUGUGUUAAUACUAAAGUUGAUAGCGACAUAUGCAAUAACAAAGGUAACAACAAAAGGAAAAAUAACUUUAGCAAACCAAUUGAUGCAACCAAUAAAAUGUAUUUUUAUCUUAGUAUAUACAGAAAAGUCGCUUUAUCUUGUUUAAAUUAUAUCAUUUGUAUUAUCGUAAAAGCCAUGCUUGAUAUAAAUUCUUUUUUUUUUAUUUCUAAGAUAAUAAAAUAUAUACACGAUACCUGUAUAUGUACAAACGUAAGUGAAGUUAAAUUCAUAGCAUUUAGAAUAAUAGCUGAAAUAAUUGUUAACUCUUCUUUUUGUUUUGAAAAUGUAAAUCAAAUAAAAGAUAAUAAUAAUAAUAACAAUAAUAAUAACAAUAAUAACAAUAAUAAUAACAAUAAUAAUAACAAUAACAAUAACAAUAAUAAUAAUAAUAAUAACAAUAAUAAUAAUAACAAUAAUAAUAAUAAUAGUAAUAAUAAUAACAAUAAUAAUAAAUUAAACAAGAAUAGUACCCCAUUCGAACAGUCAGUGGAGUUGGACGUUGUUGAUGUGGAAAAACAGCAUGUGGGUUUACAUCAAACAGAAUCAGAACCAACCAGUUAUAACAAAAUGAGUAUCACUUCCACUGGUACUAUAGAAACUACGGAAAAAACUAAUAGCACAUUCAUCGAAGUAACUGAAAAAAACAAAGAGCAAUAUCAAAAUAACACAUUAUACAACUUUACUAACAUAGAAAAAUAUUUUAAUUCCAUAUUUUCUUCUCACGCUGGUAUAUCUUAUAUCAGUUUGUUUGACUUAAAUCCAAUAAGCAAAGAAAAAAAUGAGCAAAAUGAAAAUUCAAAUAAUAAAAAUCAAGAUUCCAUAAAGAAUGAGAACAACAAUAAUAAUAUAAGCAUAUGUUAUGGUAAUGAUGAUAGUAGUAAUAAUAAUAAUAAUAAUAAUAAUAAUAAUAAUAAUAAUAAUAAUAAUNNNNNNNNNNAUAAUAAUAAUAAUAAUAAUAAUAAUAAUAAUAAUAAUAAUAAUAAUUAUGAUGGAGCUAGACUAAACAUAAAUGAUGAAGUUAAUGGGAACAACGUAUUGAUUGAAAAGGCGACUCGUACGUGUAGUUUUGAUAGUAGUGUUACUGAAGAUGAUACAAAAAGUAGUGUUAGUAAGGGUAAAUGGGAUAGUACUAGUGACUAUACUAGUAGCUACUAUGACGACAGUAAUGGUGACAGUAGUAGCCAUAGUAACCGAAGCUACAACAACAACUACAACCAAAAUCACAACAAAUUAAAUAAUGUAGCAAUAAAAAAUAUGGAAGCACAAAAUAAAAAAUAUCAACAAAACGGUAAUUUUAAAAUGUGGUCAGGAGCUAAUACAACACAUGAUAGCAAAAUAAAAUACAACGAUUUAAAUAAAAUAAAAAUAAAAAGAGAAAAUAAUUACUUGUGUGAAAUAAUAGGUUUAUUAAUACCCUAUAUAAAAGAUAAUGAAAAGAUUGUAAGUUAUUUUAGUACUUGUUCGGUUUGUAUUUUAAUAGCAAAAUUAAAGAAUGUACAAGUCAUAAAUAAUAAUCAUUUUAUUUAUUUUUUUUUUAAUCCAUUAGAGGUAGUUAUAAAUGUGUUAAACGUGGUACAUUAUGAUGUCAAUAUGUAUAAAACAAAUAAGACCAGAGUGGGAGAUAAGUCUAGGUUGGGGCAUGUAGUGGGUGUAAGUAAAAAAAAAAAAAAAAUAAAUAAUAAUAAUAAUAACAAUAACAAUAAUAACAAUAACAAUAAUAACAAUAACAACAAUAACAAUAACAACAAUAACAAUAACAACAAUAACAAUAACAACAAUAACAAUAACAAUAACAACAAUAACAAUAAUAACAAUAAUAACAAUAAUAAUUAUAAAAAACUAAAAUACAAUUUAUAUAAUAUAGAGUAUUGCACGGAAUUUAACAACAAAAUAAAUGAACAAUUGGAAAUAGUCAACAGUGAUAAAUAUCAAAAAUAUUUUAUAAAAAGGUUGAGUGAGGUUAUGGUUAUACAUGAUAGCAACCAUAAGAAUACACACGAUGGUGGUACACAAAAAAACGAGUAUAAUCACAAAAGAAAAGAAGUAAAUUUGUACAAACUUAUCAACAACAUAAUCACAGACGUUUUUUUGUUAAAUGAAAAAACAUCCUAUUUAAACUACCUUAUCAAUUGUAUUCACAAUAAAAACAAAAAAGUGGCGAUGAACGGGUUAAAUUUGCUUAUGUACUAUACUUGGAAGAAUAAGUUUAACGGACAUGAUAUAGAAAAUAUAAUGAAUAGAAUACUUAACGAAUUAUAUUAUUAUACCAAAAUGAAUGUAUUAAAUAAUGUGGUCGUGGUUAGCGAGACGAACAAACAAAAAAAUAUAAUGAAUGAAAAAGAAAAGGAACAAGUGAAACCAAAUCAAUUAACCCAUAAUAAUGAUAAAUACCAAUAUGAUAACACGCUU
ensembl:lncRNA